CCUACGGGAGGCUGCAGUGAGGAAUAUUGGUCAAUGGACGCAAGUCUGAACCAGUCAUGCCGCGUGAAGGAAGACGGCUCUAUGAGUUGUAAACUGCUUUUGUACGAGGGUAAACUCAGAUACGCGUAUCUUUCUGAACGUAUCUUACGAAUAAGGAUCGGCUAACUCCGUGCCAGCAGCCGCGGUAAUACGGAGGAUUCAAGCGUUAUCCGGAUUUAUUGGGUUUAAAGGGUGCGUAGGCGGUCGGUUAAGUUAGAGGUGAAAUCCCGAGGCUCAACUUCGGAAUUGCCUCUGAUACUGUUAGGCUAGAGAGUAGUUGCGGUAGGCGGAAUGUAUGGUGUAGCGGUGAAAUGCUUAGAGAUCAUACAGAACACCGAUUGCGAAGGCAGCUUACCAAGCUACGUCUGACGUUGAGGCACGAAAGCGUGGGGAGCAAACAGGAUUAGAUACCCGGGUAGUC
rnacentral:rRNA from 1 species